rnacentral:rRNA from 1 species
UACGGAGGGUGCGAGCGUUGUCCGGAAUCACUGGGCGUAAAGGGCGCGUAGGCGGCGCAUCAAGGGUGCGGUGAAAGCCCGGGGCUUAACCCCGGGUCGGCCGUGCCGACUGAUGUGCUUGAGCACUGUAGAGGCAGGUAGAAUUCCGGGUGUAGCGGUGGAAUGCGUAGAGAUCCGGAAGAAUACCGGUGGCGAAGGCGGCCUGCUGGGCAGUGGCUGACGCUGAGGCGCGACAGCGUGGGGAGCAAACAGG